rnacentral:rRNA from 1 species
CCGUUGACAUCCACGGAAUUUGGCAGAGAUGCCUUAGUGCCUUCGGGAACCGUGAGACAGGUGCUGCAUGGCUGUCGUCAGCUCGUGUUGUGAAAUGUGGGUUAAGUCCCGCAACGAGCGCAACCCUUAUCCUUUGUUGCCAGCGGCUCGGCCGGGAACUCAAAGGAGACUGCCGGUGAUAAACCGGAGGAAGGUGGGGAUGACGUCAAGUCAUCAUGGCCCUUACGGCCAGGGCUACACACGUGCUACAAUGGCGCAUACAAAGAGAAGCGACCUCGCGAGAGCAAGCGGGACCUCAUAAAGUGCGUCGUAGUCCGGAUUGGAGUCUGCAACUCGACUCCAUGAAGUCGGAAUCGCUAGUAAUCGUAGAUCAGAAUGCUACGGUGAAUACGUUCCCGGGCCUUGUACACACCGCCCGUCACACCAUGGGAGUGGGUUGCAAAAGAAGUAGGUAGCUUAACCUUCGGGAGGGCGCUUACCACUUUGUGAUUCAUGACUGGGGUGAAGUCGUAACAAGGUAGGCGUAGAUGA